rnacentral:misc_RNA from 1 species
AACUUUUAACAAUGGAUCACUUGGCUCUCGCAUCGAUGAAGAACGCAGCGAAUUGCGAUAUGUAAUGUGAAUUGCAGAUUUUCAGUGAAUCAUCGAAUCUUUGAACGCACCUUGCGCUCCUUGGUAUUCCGAGGAGCAUGCCUGUUUGAGUGUCAUUAAAUUCUCAACUCCCUUUGAUUUAGCUAUCGAAGGGAGCUUGGACAGUGGGUUUGCUGGCGUUAAUCGUCAGCUUUCCUUAAAUGCAUUGGCAAAGGCGAUGGCUCGAUAACGUCUUUCGGUGUGAUAAUGAUCGCCGUGGAUGGAAGUGUCCUAGUUCUCCUAUGCCUAUAACCCCCAGUGUUCAUCGUUGCUUAAGUUGCGACGGUGGCUAAUACACACAUUGAACCUUUUGACCUCAAAUCAGGUAGGAUUACCCGCUGAACUUAAGCAUAUCAAUAAGCGGAGGCU